rnacentral:lncRNA from 1 species
UGUGCUACCUGAAUUCUGUUUCUUUGCCAAAUUUUAUCCUUUCAUGAUUUCCAUGCAUAAUUUAUCACCUAAUCUUUCAUAACAACAAACACCUUCAUCCUUAACCAUUUUAAUGAUCAUACAUCAUCAAAUACUUACACAUCACUCAUUAGCAAAAUCAUCAUUACAAACAUACAAAAUAACUAAAUCCCUAUACAUGCCAUAACUCAAACGUGUUUUGACAUAAAAUACCGAGCAGUUGUGGUUGAUAGUGUGGACGAUCUCCGACUUCUUUAGGAUCCUUGAAGUAGCUUUGCAAUACUAUAAGAGAAAGAGAAAUAAAAGAAGUAAGCAUAAAGCUUAGUAAGUUUACUAGCAAGUAAAUAACAACAUUACACACAAAUAAUUAAACUCAAGUGACUAUAUCUCUAGUUUACUCUUUAGUUAAUCUCAUACUAGUUCUCUUACUUGUUUACUUAGAAUACUUGUGUGCAUAACUUACUCAACUCUUGCUGCAUCGUUGAACAUCAAUUGAUAGUAUAAUAAGUUCUUAAGUCUUACAACUUACCUGAGCUUGCCAUUUAUGCUUUAAACUGAACUUUCAUGAACAUAAUUCGUUUACAAGCCCGUUGAGCUACAUUGGAAUAAUAAGGAUACUCGGGUCUCUUCUGAUAAUAACAUGCCAAAGCCAUGUCCCAGACAUGGUCUUACAUGGGAUGUUCUCAUAUCGGUGCCCAUGCCAUGUCCCAGACAUGGUCUUACGGGGGACCUCUCAUCUCGGUGCCAACGCCAUGUCCCAGACAUGGUCUUACAUGGGACCUCUCGUCUCGAUGCCCAUGCCAUGUCUCAGACAUGGUCUUACAGGGGACCUCUUAUGAUCUUAAGGAUGCCAAUGCCAUGUCCCAGACAUGGUCUUACAUGAGAUCUCUUUACCCAAAUGUCAUGACAUUCGUAUCCAGUACCAUCCUUAUGUAUCAACGGGACUUUUAAAUUUUAAUUCUCUAUCAUUUCAUGCUUGGAUCAUCAUCAAAUAAAUUCAUAAAAUAAAUUCAUAAUUGCUGGAAAUUAACAGCAUUAAUAAUAAAUAUUGAAAUAUUGCAUUUAUUUACCGUAAACUUACCUCGGUACCAAUUAUAGCCAAAUUCACCAACUUAGUCUUCAACUUUAUUCUUCCCUUUGUCUAACCUCGAGUUUCGUACUUCUUGAUUAUGGAGCUUGGAAGCUUGAAAACCCUAACUAUGGCUUCCCCCCUUGCUGAUUUCGUUCAUAUGAAGAAGAU